AUGGGCUAGGAAAUGGAUACUGAGUGAGUAGCUGGGCCUACCAGGAUCCAGUUUUGCACCAGUUAGCCUGACCUUUCCCUAAUGACCUGGCCCACACCUUUCUGGGGGAUGCCUUAUGCAGUAGCAGAUGUGACCAUUGUACUAGUGACCGAUGUCAUGUAUGAUAGAUACUGCAUGCAAUU